AUUGAACGCUAGCGGGAUGCUUUACACAUGCAAGUCGAACGGCAGCGCGGACUUCGGUCUGGCGGCGAGUGGCGAACGGGUGAGUAAUGUAUCGGAACGUGCCCAGUAGCGGGGGAUAACUACGCGAAAGCGUAGCUAAUACCGCAUACGCCCUACGGGGGAAAGCAGGGGAUCGUAAGACCUUGCACUAUUGGAGCGGCCGAUAUCGGAUUAGCUAGUUGGUGAGGUAACGGCUCACCAAGGCGACGAUCCGUAGCUGGUUUGAGAGGACGACCAGCCACACUGGGACUGAGACACGGCCCAGACUCCUACGGGAGGCAGCAGUGGGGAAUUUUGGACAAUGGGGGCAACCCUGAUCCAGCCAUCCCGCGUGUGCGAUGAAGGCCUUCGGGUUGUAAAGCCCUUUUGGCAGGAAAGAAACGUCGCGGGCUAAUACCCCGUGGAACUGACGGUACCUGCAGAAUAAGCACCGGCUAACUACGUG
rnacentral:rRNA from 1 species